rnacentral:rRNA from 1 species
ACACUCCUGCGGGAGGCAGCAGUGGGGAAUAUUGGACAAUGGGCGCAAGCCUGAUCCAGCCAUGCCGCGUGAGUGAUGAAGGCCCUAGGGUUGUAAAGCUCUUUCACCGGUGAAGAUAAUGACGGUAACCGGAGAAGAAGCCCCGGCUAACUUCGUGCCAGCAGCCGCGGUAAUACGAAGGGGGCUAGCGUUGUUCGGAUUUACUGGGCGUAAAGCGCACGUAGGCGGACUAUUAAGUCAGGGGUGAAAUCCCGGGGCUCAACCCCGGAACUGCCUUUGAUACUGGUAGUCUUGAGUUCGAGAGAGGUGAGUGGAAUUCCGAGUGUAGAGGUGAAAUUCGUAGAUAUUCGGAGGAACACCAGUGGCGAAGGCGGCUCACUGGCUCGAUACUGACGCUGAGGUGCGAAAGCGUGGGGAGCAAACAGGAUUAGAUACCCCAGUAUCCCAUG